rnacentral:rRNA from 1 species
GAGUUUGAUCAUGGCUCAGAACGAACGCUGGCGGCAGGCCUAACACAUGCAAGUCGAGCGAGAAGCUAGUCUUCGGAUUAGUGGAGAGCGGCGGACGGGUGAGUAACGCGUGGGAACAUGCCCUAUGGUGGGGGAUAACGGUUGGAAACGACCGCUAAUACCGCAUACGCCCCUUCGGGGGGAAAGAUUUAUCGCCAUUGGAUUGGCCCGCGUUGGAUUAGUUAGUUGGUGAGGUAACGGCUCACCAAGACGUCGAUCCAUAGCUGGUCUGAGAGGAUGAUCAGCCACACUGGGACUGAGACACGGCCCAGACUCCUACGGGAGGCAGCAGUGGGGAAUAUUGGACAAUGGGGGCAACCCUGAUCCAGCCAUGCCGCGUGAGUGAAGAAGGCCUUAGGGUUGUAAAACUCUUUCACCGGUGAAGAUAAUGACGGUAGCCGGAGAAGAAGCCCCGGCUAACUCCGUGCCAGCAGCCGCGGUAAUACGGAGGGGGCUAGCGUUGUUCGGAAUCACUGGGCGUAAAGCGCACGUAAGCGGUUUAUCAAGU